AUACCUUUCUCGGCAUUUUGGCUAAUAUCAAGUGUAGUAUCUGUUCUUAUCAGUUUAAUAUUUGAUAUGUGGGUCAAUGGUCUAUAUGAUAUUAAAUUAUUUUUUUAAAGGGGAGAGGCUAU